rnacentral:rRNA from 1 species
CACUCCUACGGGAGGCAGCAGUGGGGAAUUUUGGACAAUGGGCGAAAGCCUGAUCCAGCCAUGCCGCGUGCAGGAUGAAGGCCUUCGGGUUGUAAACUGCUUUUGUACGGAACGAAACGGCCUUUUCUAAUAAAGAGGGCUAAUGACGGUACCGUAAGAAUAAGCACCGGCUAACUACGUGCCAGCAGCCGCGGUAAUACGUAGGGUGCAAGCGUUAAUCGGAAUUACUGGGCGUAAAGCGUGCGCAGGCGGUUAUGUAAGACAGUUGUGAAAUCCCCGGGCUCAACCUGGGAACUGCAUCGGUGACUGCAUAGCUAGAGUACGGUAGAGGGGGAUGGAAUUCCGCGUGUAGCAGUGAAAUGCGUAGAUAUGCGGAGGAACACCGAUGGCGAAGGCAAUCCCCUGGACCUGUACUGACGCUCAUGCACGAAAGCGUGGGGAGCAAACAGGAUUAGAAACCCGAGUAGUCCCAUGAU